rnacentral:rRNA from 1 species
UGAGGAAUAUUGGACAAUGGAUGGAAAUCUGGUCCAGCCAUGCCGCGUGCAGGAAGACGGCCCUAUGGGUUGUAAACUGCUUUUGUAUGGGAGCAAUAAGGACUACGUGUAGUUUGAUGAGAGUACCAUACGAAUAAGCAUCGGCUAACUCCGUGCCAGCAGCCGCGGUAAUACGGAGGAUGCGAGCGUUAUCCGGAUUUAUUGGGUUUAAAGGGUGCGUAGGCGGCGAUAUAAGUCAGUGGUGAAAUAUUUCGGCUUAACCGAGAGACUGCCAUUGAUACUGUGUUGCUAGAAUAUGGUUGCUGUGAGUGGAAUGUGUGGUGUAGCGGUGAAAUGCUUAGAUAUCACACAGAAUAUCGAUUGCGAAGGCAGCUCACAAAGCCAUUAUUGACGCUGAGGCACGAAAGUGUGGGGAUCAAACA